ensembl:snRNA U6 U6 spliceosomal RNA
GUGCUCACAUUGGCAGCACACAUACUAAAACUGGAAUGAUACAGAGAAGAUUAGCAUGGCCCCUGCACAAGGAUGACAGGAAAAUUCAUGAAGCACUCCAUAUUAAA